UGUGUAGGCGGCCCUGCAAGUUGGGUGUGAAAGCCCAAGGCUUAACUUUGGAACUGCGCCCAAAACUGUGGGGCUUGAGUGCCGGAGAGGGUGGUAGAAUUCCCAGUGUAGAGGUGAAAUUCGUAGAUAUUGGGAGGAAUACCAGUGGCGAAGGCGGCCACCUGGACGGACACUGACGCUGAGACACGAAAGCGUGGGGAGCAAACAGGAUUAGAUACCCUGGUAGUCCACGCCGUAAACGAUGGGAACUAGGUGUCGCGGGUAUUGACCCCUGCGGUGCCGCAGCCAACGCAGUAAGUUCCCCGCCUGGGGAGUACGGCCGCAAGGCUAAA
rnacentral:rRNA from 1 species